GGGUCCGUAGCUCAGCACGGACAGAGCGAGCGGCUUCGGACCGCUAGGCCCAGGGUUCAAAUCCCUGCGGACUCG
rfam:Candidatus Nanosalina sp. J07AB43 genomic scaffold scf_7180000030744, whole genome shotgun sequence.